CUUUAGUUGCUGAAAUUGGAACUUCUCUGGAAAUCCUCAGGGAAGAAAGUGAAGUCAUGGCCAAAACACUGAAGCGCUUGGGAGAGGCAAAGCAGAGCUUUUAUAUGCGAAGCACUUCAAAGGAAAACAUCAGACAGAUCAGGGAAGAAAUGCCCUGAACUUGUUCUUGUCUCUGGCCCUUGCAGGGCGGGCUUGGAUCUCUGCUCCAGCUGCUGUGGCAGCCAGUGGACAUGGAUGUCAUUUUUUAACUUUGUUGCCAACAGCCAAACUUCCACAUACUCGGG